CUUUGAUCACAGUGUUGCAUCUCAGCUUGCCCAACAGAAAGAGUUUAAUUUGAAAAAACCAGCUUCAUAUCAUUAUGAUCUUCUCCUCCUAGGUUUCCUUGUUAUCCUGUGUGGACUUAUAGGCAUACCACCUUCUAAUGGUGUAAUUCCUCAGUCUCCGAUGCACACAAAAAGCUUAGCUACCCUAAAACAUCAGCUUUUGCGGAGCAAGCUGGUAGCAGCAGCGCGACAAAGUUUCCGUAAAAAUUCGAACUUGAGUCAAUUAUACCGGAACAUGCAAGAGGCAUAUAAUGAGAUUCAGACUCCUUUAAUUUAUCAAAAUCCACCAGCUGUGGGGCUGAAGGAGUUGAAGGAUUCCACGAUCCAACUAGCUUCAAGAACUGGCUACAUUGAUGCACCUGUUGAUGAAACUGUUUUCGAUGUGGACAAAGAUAUUGAUGAUCUUCUGCCAGUAGAAGUUAAAGAACAACGUCUCAGCAAUUUGCUUCAGGCAGUAAUGGUUGGUGGUUGUGUUGCUGCUAUGCCUCUUUUAAAGAAGAUCCCGACUUCGGUUCUUUGGGGCUACUUCGCUUUCAUGGCAAUCGAGAGCUUACCCGGAAAUCAAUUUUGGGAAAGGAUUUUACUUCUUUUCACUGCUCCGAACCGAAGAUACAAGGUGCUGGAGGAAUAUCAUGCAACCUUUCUAGAAACUGUCCCCUUCAAAACAAUUGCCACCUUCACCUUGUUUCAGACAGUAUAUCUGCUGAUGUGUUUUGGAUUAACCUGGAUUCCAAUUGCUGGUGUUCUUUUUCCGCUGUUGAUCAUGCUUCUCGUCCCUGUGCGCCAGUACUUGCUCCCCAAGUUCUUCAAAGGUGCUCAUCUUCAGGACUUGGAUGCUGCUGAAUAUGAGGAAGCUCCUGCAGUCACUUUUAAUCCGUCAUUCGAAGAUCGAAUGGGAAGAACUCCCAACAUUGAUGACGGUGAAAUACUCGACGAGAUGAUCACAAGAAGCCGUGGCGAGAUUCGACGUACACAAGGUUCAAAAGUGAUAAGCUCAUCCCCAACGUCUCUAGAGGGCAUCAAACCUGCCUACAGCCCACAGAUACCACAGAAACUUUACAGUCCACGGAUCAAUGAGCUGAGAAGAGAGAGAAGUUCUCUAUCUCCUGGAAAAGGACUUGAGUUUAAGCUAAAUUCUAGUCCUAGUCCUAGGGAAGAACCAGGGCCAGGACCUUCUUUUAGAAAUUAGCAGUUGUAAGUGGUACUUCUUCUUGGUUUUGAUAUUGUUGUUAAUUGUGUUCGAGAGGCCUUUUAACGUUGCUUUGCUGCAGCUAAUGUCAGUUUGUAAUGGGUAUUUUCUAUUUUUCUUCCCCUUUUAUAUUUUUCUCUUUUAAAUAAAACGAAGGAAAAACAUAGAUAUACUGUUUAUUUAGCUUUGUCAUAUACAAAUUAUCUGAAUGUUUAAAAAAG
rnacentral:misc_RNA from 1 species